rnacentral:rRNA from 1 species
GACGAACGCUGGCGUCGUGCUUAACACAUGCAAGUCGAACGGAAAGGCCCCUUUGGGGGUACUCGAGUGGCGAACGGGUGAGUAACACGUGAGUAACCUGCCCUUGACUUCGGGAUAACUUCAGGAAACUGGGGCUAAUACCGGAUAGGAAUCCUUGCUGCAUGGUGGGGGUUGGAAAGCUUCGGCGGUUUUGGAUGGACUCGCGGCUUAUCAGCUUGUUGGUGGGGUAGUGGCUUACCAAGGCUUUGACGGGUAGCCGGCCUGAGAGGGCGACCGGCCACAUUGGGACUGAGAUACGGCCCAGACUCCUACGGGAGGCAGCAGUGGGGAAUAUUGCACAAUGGGCGGAAGCCUGAUGCAGCAACGCCGCGUGCGGGAUGACGGCCUUCGGGUUGUAAACCGCUUUCAGCAGGGGCGAAGCUUGUGGUGACGGUACCUGCAGAAGAAGCACCGGCUAACUACGUG